GGGACUGUGGCUCAGUGGUAGAGCAUCUGCUUAACAUGCAGAAGGUCCCAGGUUCGAUCCCCAGCAACUCCA